rnacentral:sRNA from 1 species
GCCGGGCGUGGUGGUGGGCGCCUGUAGUCCCAGCUACUCGGGAGGCUGAGGUGGGAGAAUCGCUUGAACCCAGGAGAUGGAGGUUGUAGUGAGCCAAGAUUGCACCACUGCACUCCAGCCUGGGGGACAGAGCAAGACCCCACCUCAA